UUAAUUGAAGAGUUUGAUCAUGGCUCAGAUUGAACGCUGGCGGCAGGCCUAACACAUGCAAGUCGAGCGGUAACAGAAGAAAGCUUGCUUUCUUGCUGACGAGCGGCGGACGGGUGAGUAAUGUAUGGGGAUCUGCCCGAUAGAGGGGGAUAACUACUGGAAACGGUGGCUAAUACCGCAUGACGUCUACGGACCAAAGCAGGGGCUCUUCGGACCUUGCGCUAUCGGAUGAACCCAUAUGGGAUUAGCUAGUAGGUGAGGUAAUGGCUCACCUAGGCGACGAUCUCUAGCUGGUCUGAGAGGAUGAUCAGCCACACUGGGACUGAGACACGG
rnacentral:rRNA from 1 species